AACCAGAAGGCGCAAUGAAAGUGAAGGCACGGUCGCCGUGCUGAGGUGAGAGCCGUCCCUGGCGGCACAUCAUCGACCGAUCCUAUCCGCUCCCCCGUGGUGCGGCGGGAUUCGAGUAAGAGUGUACCUGUUGCGACCCGAAAGAUGGUGAACUAUGCCUGAAUAGGGUGAAGCCAGAGGAAACUCUGGUGGAGGCCCGCAGCGAUUCUGACGUGCAAAUCGAUCGUCAAAUUUGGGUAUAGGGGCGAAAGACUAAUCGAACCAUCUAGUAGCUGGUUCCCUCCGAAGUUUCCCUUAGGAUAGCUGUAGCCCGAAGCAGUUUUAUCAGGUAAAGCGAAUGAUUAGAGGUAUCGGGGAAGAAACUUCCUCGACCUAUUCUCAAACUUUAAAUAGGUAAGAAGUCCGACUUGCUCGAUUUGAAGCCGGACACAGAAUGCUGGGUUACUAGUGGGCCAUUUUUGGUAAGCAGAACGGGCGAUGCGGGAUGAACCGAACGCCGAGUUAAGGUGCCAAAGUCGACGCUCAUCAGAUCCCACAAA
rnacentral:rRNA from 2 species